UCCCGCAGCCCCUCGGGGCCGCCGCACGGGUCCGGGAAGCGCGGGCCGUUCCCCGCGAAGGAGUCACGGCGCGCCAGGGUCUCCUCCUGCACCGGGCGGCCCAUGGGCUCCGCAGCCGCCGCCGCGCCCUCCUGCGAGGUCUGGCUGACGUAGACCACGAUGAUGUCGCCCUUGAAGUUCAUCACCUGCCCGCUGGAGAUGAACGUGGAGUUACUGUUUCCAGUCACAUUUCCUGCGGGGAGAGGAAGGGAGAACACGGGGAGGAACAGAUUAGUUGUUCACAUCAGAGAGCUCACAUCUGAUCUGCGAUGGUGACAUCAAUAGGUCACCGUGUUGGCAGCUGUAUAAUCAGAUUCAGGGCCAAUGAACCAGUAUCUGCCCCUACGAGAUUUAGCUGAAAGUGAAAUGCAAGGUGGUGAAUGGCAUUCUAACAAGAGUGUGAAGAAAGAGAUAGAAGGCUGUCCGCUGCUGGAGGGGAAGAAAGGAGGGGAGGCUUUUUCAAGGCUCUGUGGCUCAGUGGACCUUCAAUAAAUUGGACCUUCAAUAAAUUAAUUGAAAAACAAAUAGGUAUUCAGUGUUCAUCAAGAAUUGUUUGCAGCCAUAGAAAAAGAAGGAAAUCAUGUCCUCUACAGCAACAUGGAUGCAGUUGGAGGCCAUUAUCCUACGUAAAUUAGUACAGAAACAGAAAACCAAACACUGCAUGUUCUCACUUAUAAGUGGAAGCUAAACACUGGGUAUUCAUGGACAUAAAGAAGGCAACAAUAGACACUGGGGACUUCUAACUAGGCAGGGGAGAGAGGGAGAGAAACAAGGACUGAAGAUACUGUGCUCACUGCCUGGAUGACGAGAUCAGCCAUACCCCAAACCUCAGCAUCAUACAAUAUACCCAGGUACAAACCUGCACAUGUACCCUCAAUCUAAGAUAAAAGUUGAAAUAAUUAAAAAGCAAAAUGAUUUUUAAAAGAUAAAAAAAAAAGACCACCCCAACUUUCUCCAGCUCAGAAGUGACAGACUAACGAGUGGCUUCGGGAGCCAAAACCAAGCCACCAGCCAACAACAGACACAUUAAUCAUAAGCAGUUAUGGUUUCUUUCGCAUGAAAUAACUCUCUAGGGGCACAGUGAGAAUGCACCAAUCUCCAGGUGAGAGGGCUUGUAACCAAGGCAACCAUCACGUCAUCAGGAUUAGGCGUAACUUCAGACCUAAAUUAAGGCAUGGUUAUUUAAGACAUAACCAGAAGUAUGCUUCCCCCUUCACUGAUCUUUGCUAAUCAUUCUCCUUGCUUCUUAGGACUUAUAACAUGGCUAACAUAGCCUUAACAGCAACGGGUAUUAUGAUUUUUAAAGUUGUCUACACUUGCGGAGCUGUCUGAAAAAUCAUCAUUCUCCUCACAAAGAUGCUGGGACAGGAGAUACUCUUCCCUAAAGGAAAAGUCCCCAGUCACUGUCAUUUCUCCAGAAACUAUUUGAUGUGAUUGUAAGUAAAAACAAACAAAAAAUAAUCUCAUAUAAAAAUCCAAAAAACCCUUAAACAAAUGUCACAUCAGCACAGUCCUGAGAGCACAGGGACUUUGAGGGGACCACGGGAUAAGGCCUCUAUAGGACUGCUCACCGAAGCUCCAGCCUCUUUCACGCAUUUUAUAGAACGUAAAUUGUGACUUUUUAAAAAACUACAUGAAAAAGCAAGAAUGAGAAAGUACUAUUUUGACCAGAAACCAUAAGGCCUGUUCAUGGAGAAGUAAUUGUGGAGAGAAUAGCACAGCCUCCAAAAUCAAUCUGGCUGCUGCCUCUCCUCAGGCGAAAAUUAAUUUGGCCCGCUUGCUGGCGUCGACCACGGGCAGACUCUCUACGGAUGUUUUGCAUGGCUAAGCACCAGACGAAGACAGAAAAAGCAGUGUAAACUUUUUGCAAAUUAACACCACUUAGUUGAUGACACACUUUUUAUUCCUUUUCUCCAUCCCUAGAUGGUUUAGUGCUUAGUGCUAGAGAAAUAAAAGAUGAUGAAAAACAGACUAGGCUACUGUUUUGACUCUUAUAGGAGAGCAAAGAUCGGGCUUUUUGUUUUAUGGCAUUAAAAGAUCCAUGUAUCUCUCUCUCUCUUUAAAUCUGGCCAACACUGUUCUUCCAGGAACUGCUGCUGAUUUUCACACAGAGGCAACAUCAUCUUCCUGGUGUCACCCACUGAAAAACCGGUCUGCCCCUGACAGUGUGGCCAGGACCUGGCUGCCACCAGAGACAGAACGUCAGCUUUCUUGCUCCCCACAGCCCAGGGUCCUGUCUGUCUCCACAACCAAGGGGAAGACAAUAAACUGAGAGAAAAGAAAUAGAACAGGCCAGGUGCAGUGGCUCACACCUGCAAUCCCAGCACUUUGGGAGACUGAGGCAGGUGGAUCACCUGAGGUCAGGCGUUUGAGACCAGCCUGGCCAACAUGGAAAAACCCCAUCUUUACUGAAAAUACAAAAAUUAGCAUGGUGUGGUGGCAUGUGCCUAUAGUCCCAGCCACUCGGGAGGCUGAGGCAGGAGAACUGCUUGAACCCGAGAGGUGGAGGUUGCAAUGAGCCGAGAUCGCGCCACUGCACUCCAGCCUGGGCGACAGAGUGAGACUUGGUCUCAAAAAAAAAAAAAAAAAAAAAAAAGAAAAGAAAAGAAAAGAAAUAGAACAAUGCAAACGAACAGCAAAGCCCAGUCAUGGAGAUUCCUUACAAUCUUAAAAAAUAAGAACAAUUCUGAGAUCUUCUGAGAAGAAAACAUACCAGUUCUUUGAAAAAUAUCCCCAAACAUAUCUCCUCCUUUCUGUUUGACUGAGAACUGCUAUUACUGAAUUUAUACAUCAGUAAAUCUAUGUAGCUGCAGCAAAACCACAAGCUUGAGGAACAGAUUAGAGCCAGGAACCAUCAUUCCCACGAGGCAAAACAGUCUCUGUGUUUAAGGCACAGAUCUAGCUACCUCAGGGUUAUAAAACAAUUUGAAGACCGGCUGCUAGCAUCACUUGCAGUCUAAAUAAAGAAGCAGAGAAGAAAAAGCAUCUCUGGAGAGGGGCGGCCUAUGAAUGGGCCUUUUUAAAAUAUGAGUUGGAGGAUUCUGUGAAGCCCCUUAAAUAGUAUAUAUCCAUAUAUUCGUUUUUCUGGAGGGAGUGUCUACAGCUUUUGGAAGAUUCUCAAAGAGAUCCCUGACCCUUCAAAUGACAGAUAAUUCUCAGAGCCAGAGCCCUCACUAUGAGCUGCAAAGUCCUUUGCAACUAUGUAAUAAAACAGAUGGUGUUUUACCCUCAUGGGAAAAAGUUACAAUAUUAUAAUCGGUGGGUUGUUCAUGCUCAGGCAGUGUUGCAGUGAUACAUCUUUAUAAUGAUGUUAAAUUGUUAAAAUUAUCUGCCUGGUUCCAUAAAUAUAUGAUACAUUGUGGUUAUAAAAGGGGCCUUUCUCAUGAAACUUUUUAAAAGACAGUUUUACUUUAUCAUUAAUUUGGUAUAGAAUCAACACAUUAUUCACAAUAAAUAUUAAUUAAUUAAGGA